rnacentral:rRNA from 1 species
AUUCCAGCUCUCGAAGUGUAUAUCAUUGUUGUUGCGGUUAAAAAGCUCGUAGUUGGAUCUGCGUCUUUGGAGUCGGUCUUCCCAACGGGAUAGUACUGACAUCCGGGACUAAUUUGCUGGUUUUGUCUUGGUGCCCUUAACCGGGUGCCUUGGCUGACUGGCGCGUUUACUUUGAAAAAAUUAGAGUGCUCAAAACAGGCGUUUGCCUGAAUAUUCGCGCAUGGAAUAAUAGAAUAGGACCUUGGUUCUAUUUUGUUGGUUUUCGGAACACAAGGUAAUGAUUAAGAGGGACAGACGGGGGCAUUCGUAUUGCAGCGCUAGAGGUGAAAUUCUUGGACCGCUGCAAGACGAACAACUGCGAAGGCAUUUGCCAAGAAUGUUUUCAUCA